rnacentral:rRNA from 2 species
GUUGGGUAGGGGAGCGUUCUGUAAGCCUGUGAAGGUGGCCUGUGAGGGUUGCUGGAGGUAUCAGAAGUGCGAAUGCUGACAUAAGUAACGAUAAAGCGGGUGAAAAGCCCGCUCGCCGGAAGACCAAGGGUUCCUGUCCAACGUUAAUCGGGGCAGGGUGAGUCGACCCCUAAGGCGAGGCCGAAAGGCGUAGUCGAUGGGAAACGGGUUAAUAUUCCCGUACUUGGUGUUACUGCGAAGGGGGGACGGAGAAGGCUAUGUUGGCCGGGCGACGGUUGUCCCGGUUUAAGCGUGUAGGUGUGUGUUCCAGGUAAAUCCGGUUCACUUUAACACUGAGGCGUGAUGACGAGGCACUACGGUGCUGAAGCAACAAAUGCCCUGCUUCCAGGAAAAGCCUCUAAGCAUCAGGUAACAUCAAAUCGUACCCCAAACCGACACAGGUGGUCAGGUAGAGAAUACCAAGGCGCUUGAGAGAACUCGGGUGAAGGAACUAGGCAAAAUGGUGCCGUAACUUCGGGAGAAGGCACGCUGACACGUAGGUGAAGUGAUUUACUCACGGAGCUGAAGUCAGUCGAAGAUACCAGCUGGCUGCAACUGUUUAUUAAAAACACAGCACUGUGCAAACACGAAAGUGGACGUAUACGGUGUGACGCCUGCCCGGUGCCGGAAGGUUAAUUGAUGGGGUCAGCGCAAGCGAAGCUCCUGAUCGAAGCCCCGGUAAACGGCGGCCGUAACUAUAACGGUCCUAAGGUAGCGAAAUUCCUUGUCGGGUAAGUUCCGACCUGCACGAAUGGCGUAAUGAUGGCCAGGCUGUCUCCACCCGAGACUCAGUGAAAUUGAACUCGCUGUGAAGAUGCAGUGUACCCGCGGCAAGACGGAAAGACCCCGUGAACCUUUACUAUAGCUUGACACUGAACAUUGAGCCUUGAUGUGUAGGAUAGGUGGGAGGCUUUGAAGUGUGGACGCCAGUCUGCAUGGAGCCGACCUUGAAAUACCACCCUUUAAUGUUUGAUGUUCUAACGUGGACCCGUAAUCCGGGUUGCGGACAGUGUCUGGUGGGUAGUUUGACUGGGGCGGUCUCCUCCUAAAGAGUAACGGAGGAGCACGAAGGUUGGCUAAUCCUGGUCGGACAUCAGGAGGUUAGUGCAAUGGCAUAAGCCAGCUUGACUGCGAGCGUGACGGCGCGAGCAGGUGCGAAAGCAGGUCAUAGUGAUCCGGUGGUUCUGAAUGGAAGGGCCAUCGCUCAACGGAUAAAAGGUACUCCGGGGAUAACAGGCUGAUACCGCCCAAGAGUUCAUAUCGACGGCGGUGUUUGGCACCUCGAUGUCGGCUCAUCACAUCCUGGGGCUGAAGUAGGUCCCAAGGGUAUGGCUGUUCGCCAUUUAAAGUGGUACGCGAGCUGGGUUUAGAACGUCGUGAGACAGUUCGGUCCCUAUCUGCCGUGGGCGCUGGAGAACUGAGGGGGGCUGCUCCUAGUACGAGAGGACCGGAGUGGACGCAUCACUGGUGUUCGGGUUGUCAUGCCAAUGGCACUGCCCGGUAGCUAAAUGCGGAAGAGAUAAGUGCUGAAAGCAUCUAAGCACGAAACUUGCCCCGAGAUGAGUUCUCCCUGAGACUU